UCAGUCGACUCCUACGGGGAGGCAGCAGUGGGGGAAUAUUGCACAAUGGGCGCAAGCCUGAUGCAGCCAUGCCGCGUGUAUGAAGAAGGACCUUCGGGUUGUAAAGUACUUUCAGCAGUGAGGAAGGUGGAGUCGUUAAUAGCGGCCUCAUUUGACGUUAGCUGCAGAAGAAGCACCGGCUAACUCCGUGCCAGCAGCCGCGGUAAUACGGAGGGUGCGAGCGUUAAUCGGAAUUACUGGGCGUAAAGCGCAUGCAGGUGGUUUGUUAAGUCAGAUGUGAAAGACCCGGGGCUCAACCUCGGAAUUGCAUUUGAAACUGGCAGACUAGAGUACUGUAGAGGGGGGUAGGAAUUUCAGGUGUAGCGGUGAAAUGCGUAGAGAUCUGAAGGAAUACCGGUGGCGAAGGCGGCCCCCUGGACAGAUACUGACACUCAGAUGCGAAAGCGUGGGGAGCAAACAGGAUUAGAUACCCUGGUAG
rnacentral:rRNA from 1 species